rnacentral:rRNA from 1 species
UACGUAGGUGGCGAGCGUCGUCCGGAAUUACUGGGCGUAAAGGGUGCGUAGGUGGAAACUUAAGUCAGAUGUGAAAUCCCUGAGCUCAACUCGGGAAUGGCAUUUGAAACUGGGUUUCUAGAGUGCAGGAGAGGAAAGCGGAAUUCCUAGUGUAGCGGUGAAAUGCGUAGAUAUUAAGAAGAACACCAGUGGCGAAGGCGGCUUUCUGGACUGUAACUGACACUGAGGCACGAAAGCGUGGGGAGCAAACAGG